UACGGAGGGAGCUAGCGUUGUUCGGAAUUACUGGGCGUAAAGCGCGCGUAGGCGGCUUUGUAAGUUAGAGGUGAAAGCCCGGGGCUCAACCCCGGAACUGCCUUUAAGACUGCAUCGCUGGAAUCCGGGAGAGGUGAGUGGAAUUCCGAGUGUAGCGGUGAAAUGCGUAGAUAUCUGGAGGAACACCGGUGGCGAAGGCGACAUCCUGGACCGGUAUUGACGCUGAGUGAGCGAAAGCCAGGGGAGCAAACGGG
rnacentral:rRNA from 1 species